UCCUCAUUCCAGUGAAAAAUGCCCUAGAACAGUAAAAAUGGAGCAGGUAUCAGGCACAACUAAUAGCCCAAGACACCAAGCUUUGCCACACCCACACGGGCCAUCAGCAGUGAUAAACAUUAAGCAAUAAGCGAACACACCCAACCUACUUUUAAAGCUUGACUUAGUUAUGAUUUAAUAGGGCCGGUAAACCUCGUGCCAGCCACCGCGGUUAUACGAGGGGCCCAAAGAAGCAGACACUCGGCGUAAAUAGUGGUUAGAAUCAUGCCAAACACUAAAAAUUAAACCAUAUCCUAACCGUAAAACAAAGGAUAGAUGAAACCAAACAUUUUUAAAAACAGGCAAUUUGACCCACGAAAACUAAGAAACAAACUAGGAUUAGAUACCCUACUAUGCUUAGUCGUUAAUAAGAUAUUACUCUACUAAAAUAUCCGCCAGAAAACUACGAGCGAAAAGCUUAAAACUCAAAGGACUUGGCGGUGCUCCAUACCGACUUAGAGGAGCCUGUCCUAUAAUCGAUACUCCACGAUAAACCUUACCAGUCUUUGCCCAAUCAGCCUAUAUACCGCCGUCACCAACCUACCUCAUGAGAGAAAAAUAGUAGGUGUAAAAGCCCAACAGCUAAAACGUCAGGUCAAGGUGUAGCUAAUAGACUGGAAGAGAUGGGCUACAUUUUUUAAUAUAAAAUAUAACGGCACGGUACAAUGAAAUUUCUACCCAAAGGAGGAUUUAAUAGUAAAAUUAACAAGAAAGUUAAUUUUAAACACG
rnacentral:rRNA from 1 species